AUUGAACGCUGGCGGCAGGCCUAACACAUGCAAGUCGAGCGAGCGGCGGACGGGUGAGUAAUGUAUGGGGACUGCCCGAUAGAGGGGGAUAACUACUGGAAACGGUGGCUAACACCGCAUACUAGCGGAUAACCCAUAUGGGUUUAGCUAGUAGGUGGGGUAAAGGCUCACCUAGGCGACGAUCUCUAGCUGGGCUGAGAGGAUGAGAAGACACACGGGGACGUAGACACGGCCCAAACUCCUACGGAGGCAGCAGUGGGGAAUAUUGCACAAUGGGCGCAAGCCUGAUGCAGCCAUGCCACGUGUAUGAAGAAGGCCUUCGGGUUGUAAGGUACUUUCAGCGGGGAGGCGUUACCCGCAGAAGAAGCACCGGCUAACUCCGUGCCAGCAGCCGCGGUAAUAC
rnacentral:rRNA from 1 species